UGGCUCAGAGCGAACGUUAGCGGCGGGCUUAACACAUGCAAGUCGAACGAGAAUGAGGGGGCAACUCCUCUAGUAAAGUGGCGGACGGGUGCGUAACACGUGGACAAUCUACCUUCCGGCGGGGGACAACAGUUCGAAAGGACUGCUAAUACCGCGUACGUCGGCGAGGGCUCCGGCCCCUGCCGAGAAAGAUGGCCUCUCCUUGGAAGCUGUCACCGGAAGAUGAGUCCGCGGCCCAUCAGCUAGUUGGUGAGGUAAUGGCUCACCAAGGCUAAGACGGGUAGCUGGUCCGAGAGGAUGAUCAGCCACACUGGGACUGCGACACGGCCCAGACUCCUACGGGAGGCAGCAGUGGGGAAUAUUGGGCAAUGGGCGAAAGCCUGACCCAGCCACGCCGCGUGAGUGAUGAAGGCCUUCGGGUCGUAAAGCUCUGUGGGGAGGGACGAACAAGCCGGCCAACCACCGGCCCUGACGGUACCUCCUUAGCAAGCACCGGCUAACCAUGUGCCAGCAGCCGCGGUAAUACAUGGGGUGCAAACGUUGCUCGGAAUUAUUGGGCGUAAAGCGCGCGUAGGCGGUCGCUUAAGUCGGAUGUGAAAUCCCUCGGCUUAACUGAGGAAGUGCAUCCGAGACUGAGCGGCUAGAGUACGAAAGAGGGUCGCGGAAUUCCCGGUGUAGAGGUGAAAUUCGUAGAUAUCGGGAGGAACACCGGCGGCGAAGGCGGCGACCUGGUUCGAGACUGACGCUGAGGCGCGAAAGCGUGGGGAGCAAACAGGAUUAGAUACCCUGGUAGUCCACGCCGUAAACGAUGGAUGCUAGAUGUUUCUGGUAUUGACCCCGGAGGCGUCGUAGCUAACGCGUUAAGCAUCCCGCCUGGGGAGUACGGCCGCAAGGCUAAAACUCAAAG
rnacentral:rRNA from 1 species